rnacentral:rRNA from 1 species
UACGAAGGGGGCUAGCGUUGUUCGAAAUUACUGGGCGUAAAGCGCACGUAGGCGGAUCCUUAAGUCAGGGGUGAAAUCCCGAGGCUCAACCUCGGAACUGCCUUUGAUACUGGGGAUAUCGAGUCCGGGAGAGGUGAGUGGAACUGCGAGUGUAGAGGUGAAAUUCGUAGAUAUUCGCAAGAACACCAGUGGCGAAGGCGGCUCACUGGCCCGGUACUGACGCUGAGGUGCGAAAGCGUGGGGAGCAACAGG